UUCUCGUUAGAAUAUGAGUUCGUCUGAUUUCCAAUUAGAAGGUUCCUGAGCUGGAACGAGACU
rnacentral:tRNA from 1 species